CUAAUCUUGUUCCUGCUCUUCCUUUUCGAUUUUCAAGUUAGAAUCCAGGUUAUUUCCGAUUAGAGUAGGUAUAAUUUUGUGAUUUCGUAGGUAUACUAUAUGUUUCGCGUGGUCUGUUCUCUUUGAUUCAGGAUGUCCGAAGAGGUCAUUACUGUGACUGACGAUUUGCCUCAUCAGUACAUGUCUAUCCCUUAAGCCAAGUCCGUCUGAGAUUUUCUGGCGAUGCGCCUGUGAUGGCCGAAUCAGUCGCUGAUGGGUCAGAUUUUCUGGCGGUUCGCCUGUGAUGGCGAUUCGCCUGUACAUGUCUAUCCCUUAAGCCAAGUUGCGUAGGAUGUUGUGUCAUCCGAAGAGGUAGUUCCUGUGGUGGACGAUUUGCCUCCCAAGUAGAUGUCUAUCCCUGAUCCAAGUUCGUCUGAGAUUUUCUGGCGACCUACUUGUGACGCUUGAAUCAGUUGAUGCGCCAGAUCCGUCAGUUUAUGGUGUAUCCGUGCACGCCGGCGGUUCAUCUUCAUCGUCUGCUCGAAGAAGGCUCCUAGGUGCUUGCUGCUGUCCACAAGAUGCCCGAGGUCAUCCAAUUUAUGGUUCAUGUUCGUGGUUCCUUUUGCUGACCAGAUGAUGCUUUGCCCGUCUCCAAACAUCACAGAAAGGUAAUUGUGUUGGCAAGCUGAUUGACGCGCAUGUGUGUACGUGCGUGCCUAUUGUAUUAUUACCUGUUGUAUUACAUUGGUAGCAUAGGACGGCCUUUGCCAUGUCGGGUGCGCUCGCUUGGCAGGCCACGAGACAAUAAAAGGAAUAUUUUGCUGGUGUCCGCGGGGUGGAGAUCGCACGGGAACUAUCAAUUUGUUCUAUUUUGCCCGGGUUCUCCACCCUGCCAUGGUGUCUCUGUCCUUCUCCUUUCAUGUGUUGUUGAUUCUGCGAUAUCCUCGUGGUACACCACGAUCCUACAUAGUAACAAAUAUAUCGAUAGGCCUGGGUGCCGCGAUAACUACGUACUGAAGAUCAAUGAUAACUGAAUUCUGAAGAUCAGUGACAACUACAAAACCAAGGUACAUCUAGCUGCUUCUAGCUGCUUCUAUCUAGCUGCUUCGUUAUAUCAAUUUAAAUUUGCAUGUGAACGUCACCCCGACGCAAAACAUAACCAUACUGAACAACCGCAUUUUGGUUUGAUAUACAAGAUCGUUCAUACCUGUAAAUCUUGUGCUCUUGCACCGCGCCAGCACGAUAGUACUGAAAUACCCAUGAGGUAUCAUUAGCAUUCUUUUUCAAUGCAAUGUCUUCUGUUAGAAAAAAAGCGUUGUUAACUUUUUGCAGCACAAGCUUUUCCAGAAUUUUUGGUCACUUUGCAUAUUUUCGUCGAUGGUCGUCCAGUUGAAGAAGGCGCUCUCUGGUGCUUGCUGCUGCCCACAAGGCCCGGGAUGGAACUGGUCAUCUGAUUUAUACUUCAUGUUUGCUGAUCAAAUCGAGAUGACGUUCGUGGUUCCUUUUGCUGGCAAGAUGAUGCUUGCUUGUCCCCAAACAUCACAUAAAGGUAAUUGUGUUGGUAAGCUGAUUAAUGCGCAUGUGUGUACGUGCGUGUUGUAUUUGCAUUACUUGUUGUACUACAUUGGUAGGGUAGGGCGGCCUUUGCCAUGUCGGGUGCGCUCGCUGGCAGGCCAUGAGACAAUAAAAAGUAUAUUAUGUUGGUUUGCGGGGUGGAGAUCGCACGGGAACUAUCAAUUUGUUCUAUUUUGCCCGGGUUCUCCACCCUGCCAUGGUGUCUUUGUCCUUCACAUGUGUUGUUGAUUCCCCAAGAUCAUCUUAAAUUGCACCACAAUCCUACAUAAACAGGCCUGGGUGCGGCGAUAACUACCUACUGAAGAGCAAUGAUAACUACAAACGAAGGUACAUCUCACUGCUUCUAUCGAGCAAAGCACUUCGCUAUAUCAAUUUAAAUUUGCAUAUGCACGUCAUCCCAACUCAAAGCGUACAUGGUGGUUUACCCUUCGUCAAUGAACAACCAUAUUUUGGCUUGAUACGAGAUCUAUCAUGCAUGUAAAUAUUGUACUCUUGCACCCCAACAAUACUGAAAUGCCCACGAGAGAUCAUCAGCAUUCUUGUUCAAUGUUACAAUGUCUUCUUUUAGAAAAAAGCCAUUGUUAACUUUUUGCAGCACAGGCUUUUCCGAGAAGUUUUGGUUACUCUGCAUAUUUUCUGUUGUACAAUGUUAUGAGCUUUGUACCUUUGGUCGUAAUUCAACUAUUUCCUGUUAAUUCUCAUCCUGUGUGCAUAGGUGAGUUCAUUUGUUCUACUACCUGGUGUACAUAUUUAUUAUAUAUCAGUUCUGUAAAUACCAUUGAAGGGCUUGUUUUCUCGUGUGUAUACUUGUCAGUCUUCCAAAUUUGAUGCCUUGUUAAUGGCCGUCAGGACUCGAGCUUGUCCAGAUGUUCUUCAUCAUACUUCCUCUCGGUGAUCAGCUGGAUUCCAGUUGAGGUUUACUGGAUGUAUAGCUUGUCAUAUCAGAAACAAUAAUGAUUAUGGGUGCCUUUUUUGAUCAGCAAUGUCUAUUCGGGAACAGUUGGUUUCACA